rnacentral:rRNA from 1 species
UACGUAGGGGGCUAGCGUUGUCCGGAAUCAUUGGGCGUAAAGCGCGUGUAGGCGGUUCGGUAAGUCCGCUGUGAAAGUCGGGGCUCAACCCUCGGAUGCCGGUGGAUACUGUCGGACUAGAGUACGGAAGAGGCGAGUGGAAUUCCUGGUGUAGCGGUGAAUGCGCAGAUAUCAGGAGGAACACCGAUUGCGAAGGCAGCUCGCUGGACGUUGACUGACGCUGAGACGCGAAGCGUGGGAGCAACAG